rnacentral:lncRNA from 1 species
UGAAGGGGUCUGUGUCCCGUGCCCUGAUCCGACUAGCAGCGGCUCCUCGGUGGUUCACUCCAGACCGUGUCCUUGUUGAGUUGUCAGUACUCAGUAGCGUGUCGUCGUUUCGCCCAUCCGUCUUUUUUAUCUGUCGCCGUGUCUUCGUCGUCGCCGUCUGUGUAUCCCGUGUACACCGGAGGUGCACCCGCCCAUUGCCGCCCACCCGUGUCGUGUCUUGUUUUAGCGGCAGCUUAUUCCGUUCAUUUCAAUAGGACAAUGCCAUGUAUGAGAUGUUUUCCUGGUGCACUUGCUGCUGUCAUGUGUCUCCUGUGUGCUUGGUUCUGUGAUUUUGCUCAUCUCAGAAUUAAGUCAUCUUCUUUCUUAUGGUUUGUGUGUUCAUUGUGCAUAUUUUCUGUGGAGAAAUCAUUCUGCCAUGGCAAGGCACCUGAUGGGUGCUUGUGUAAAGGCUGAACUAAGCCU